GCAGGAGCCUAGGGGAAGAUCAUUCCAGGCAGAGGGAAAAGUUUAAGUGCACAGGUCUGGCAAUGAGAGCAUAUCUGGUUCAAGGAUUGGCAAGGCAGACAGUAUGGCUGGAGGAGAUCUUGUUAUUGGAGAGAAGGAGCUCCAGGCAGAGUGUUGGAGAUGGGGCAGGUAUGUAGGGGCUGGUAGGCCCAGUACUUUGGCUUUUGCUUUGAGUGACCUGGGGAGCCACUGGACAGUUUUGAGCAGGAAAGUAACAUAAUCUAAUUUAUAUUUUAAAGGCAUAUUUGAGCUGCUAUGCUGUGGAGGAGGCUAUCGCAAAAAUACAGAUGAGACUUCUGGUUUCUGACCCAGCAUGUAAGGAAUUUGGAAGUCACCACUAUGUCUUAACAAGUAAAAAGCUGAACAAACUGAAAAAUCCACAACGCUUCUUAGAUCUAUUAGAAAAGUAAAGUCAUGGAGAAAGCUCCUAGUCCUAAAAUUUGGAGAGACAAACAGGCAAAUAUAGAGCUGAAACCUCAGCAGGAACCAGUGCCAGGAAUGGAAAACCUAAAGUGUAAUUGAUGAAUUACUAGAGGCUCAAUGUGGACAAGUCUGAGAGUUAAACACUCCAGGGAACCCAGUCACAGAAGGGUACCUACACUUUUUUGAGCUUUACUUCUGGGAGUUCUACCAGCUUCCCAUAAUGAAUAGUGGAGAAAAAUCCCCUCAUGCAUUUGGAAAAGGUGAGGGGGAAGUAACCAUUUUGAAAUCCUCCAAGGCACCCUAUUCUUCUAACAAAGCCUGCCCUCAAGAGGAACUAUGUUACCAGAGCUUAAACUAUUAGAUAUUUUUCAGAGCCUAACUGACCCAGAGGAAGAAAAAUAAAUACCCAGCUCCAGCCCACUGUAGCCAUCCUCUUCCAUCUAAUGUUGGCAGGUGGGGCUGGGGGUGGAGACUGAGAAGCACUUGUGAAGUUCAGUCUAGAGGCACAGAACAGAAAAGAGUGAGACCUAAUCAUAGGGCUAUAGAAUGUUUCCCCUCCCCCAACAUCUGACCAUUACACUAGUAAAGACCUAUUUACCACUUUUCCUUUUACCCAGUACAUCAUGUCUGACUAUGAAGUAAAAGUUACAAGGCAUAUUAAAAGGCAAAAAACACAGCUUGAAGAGAAAGAGCAAGCAUCAAAACUAAACUCAAAUACAGCAGGGAUGUUGGCUUAUCAGACCGAGAACUGAAAACAACUAUGAUAAAGAUGCUAAGGACUCUAAUGGAUAAAGUAGACAACAUUCAAGAACAGAUGGCAAUGUACGCAGAGAGAUGAACAUUCUAAGAAAGCGUCAAAAAAAUACUAGAGGUCAAAAACACUGUAAUAGAAAUGAAGAACGCCUGUGAUGGGCUCAUUAGCAGACUGGACAUGACUGAGGAAAGAAUCACUGAAUUUGAUAUUUGAUUAGAGGAUAUCAAAAUAAAACUUUCCAAAAUUGAAAAGCAAAGAGAGAAAAGACUGAAAAAGGCAGAACAGAAUAUCCAAGAACUGUGGGACAACGACACAAGCUGCACCAUAUGCAUGAUGGGAAUACUAGAAGGAGAAGAAGGGCAGAAUAGAACAGAAGAAAUAUUUGAACCAAUAAUGACCAAGGAUUUCCCCCAAAUUAGUGACAUACACUAAAUCACCUAUCUAGGAAGCUCAUAGAACACUAAGCAGGAUAAAUGCAAAAAAAAAAAAAAAAAAAACUAAAGCCACAAACAAACAAAGGCACCUAGACACAUUAUACUCAAACUGCAGAAAAUCAAAGAUACAGAAAAAAACCUGGCUGGGCGCGGUGGCUCAUGCCUGUAAUCCCAGC
rnacentral:lncRNA from 1 species